AUCAAUUUUCCACCGUAAGACCUUCAACACUCAAUCAGCAUGAAGAUUAUGUUGGUGCUUCUCCUGGUGGCCGCCGCUACAGCCCUGCCAGCCCCGGCGCCCGGCCCCGAGGCCGGAGCUGAACCUGACCCACAGCUCUUCUACAGUUCUUUGGGCUACUCACCACUGUGGUACAACUACCCAACAUUCUUCCCCUACACCCAAUAUUAUCACAUACCCUACGUGGUGGCGAAGAAGAGCGAGGGAUAAACAACUCUAGGAACCGCUGCAGGACGUCAGGAGGAGUCAGUAGCCUCGCUAGCCUUACCGGUGGGAUUUGCAAUUUGCCGCUGAGCCUCCUGUGUCCGCCACCAACACCGGCCUCCUGGCUCACCUCCCCGAAGGCCACUCCAUGGACGUCUCUUCUCCCAAACACCAACUGGGGACACUGGCGUGAUGCUGUGUCCUCCGGCUUUGUUUUCUUUGCAUUAAUAAAAAAAAAAAAAAAGUUUUAA